rnacentral:rRNA from 1 species
GUCUUUUUGAUUAUAAUUUAAAGUCUGACCUGCCCAAUGAAUUUUAAAUGGCCGCGGUAUUUUGACCGUGCAAAGGUAGCAUAAUCAUUAGUUUUUUAAUUGAAAGCUAGUAUGAAGGGUUGAACGAGAAAAUUACUGUCUCAAUUUAAUUUAAUUAGAAUUUUAUUUUUAAGUUAAAAAGCUUAAAUUUGUUUAAAAGACGAGAAGACCCUAUAGAGUUUAAUAUUUAGUAUAAUUAAUUUUUUUAUAAUAGUUUAGAUUAUAUAAAAUAUUUUAUUGGGGUGAUAAAUAAAUUUAUUAAACUUUAUGUUUUUUUUUACAUUAAUUUAUGAUUAAUUGAUCCAUUAUUUAUGAUUAUAAGAUAAAAUUACCUUAGGGAUAACAGCGUAAUCUUUUUAGAGAGUUCUUAUCGAAAAAAAGGAUUGCGACCUCGAUGUUGGAUUAAAAUUAAUUUUUGGUGUAGAAGCUAAAAUAUUGAGUCUGUUCGACUUUUAAAAUUUUACAUGAUCUGAGUUUAAACCGGCGUGAGCCAGGUUGGUUUCUAUCUUUAAAAAUGUUAAAUAUUUUAGUACGAAAGGACCAAAUAUUUAUAAUAAUUAUUAUUUUUUGAAUAU